ensembl:lncRNA
GGGUAAAUGGAAUGGGUCAGUGUCUCAGAGAGAGAGGCCAGUCUGGGUAAAUGGAACGGGUCAGUGUCUCAGAGAGAGAGGCCAGUCUGGGUAAAUGGAACGGGUCAGUGUCUCAGAGAGAGAGGCCAGAGAGAGGCCAGUCUGGGUAAAUGGAACGGUGUCAGUGUCUCAGAGAGAGAGGCCAGUCUGGGUAAAUGGAAUGGGUCAGUGUCUCAGAGAGAGAGGCCAGUCUGGGUAAAUGGAACGGGUCAGUGUCUUAGAGAGAGAGGCCAGUCUGGGUAAAUGGAAUGGGUCAGUGUCUCAGAGAGAGAGGCCAUUGAAUGGGUCAGUGUCUCAGAGAGAGAGAGGCCAGUCUGGGUAAAUGGAAUGGGUCAGUGUCUCAGAGAGAGAGGCCAGUCUGGGUAAAUGGAAUGGGUCAGUGUCUCAGAG